AUGGCAGGAGCGGAGAGGAGGCGGUGGAGAGGAGGCGGCCUUGUGGGGCUGGCCGCACUGCUGCUGGUGGCUGUGGGCAGAGCCCAGGUGGAGCAGGAGCCGUCGGCAGAGACCACCGAGAGCACCGGCAUCAGCAUCAACUGCUCGUAUCCCAACAUAAAGCUUUCCUACUACAUCUACUGGUACCGCCAGCUCCCGGGACGAGGCCCCGCGCUGCUCCUGAGCACUCUCAAAGACUCCAAAGAGCUGCGGGACCCGCCGGGGCGGCUGUGGGUGUCGGCACACCGCCGCUCCAGCGCCCUGUGGCUCACCCGGCCCCGGCGCGGGGACGCGGUGGUGUAUUACUGUGCCACACUACCGAGGCACAAGGACCACAUCAUGAGUGCAAAAGUUCCUCUCUCAAACCCCAUGACAGGCUUCCACAGGAGUUUUCCGGUCCUCAGGUCCCUUUGGCAGUGUGACCUGGAGCUGAGAGGCAGCGCUUCUACACCAAGCUAUGUCUGCCUGAGGGGAUGCUCAAGCACCUUCUGA